rnacentral:tRNA from 1 species
AGGAUUAUAAUUUAAUAAAAAAUUAUUAAUUUGCAAUUAAUAUAUAUUGUCUUAUCAAUUAAUCUUA